rnacentral:rRNA from 1 species
UACGUAGGGGGCGAGCGUUGUCCGGAAUCACUGGGCGUAAAGGGUGAGUAGGCGGUAACGUGUGUCAGAUGUUUAAUCUAUGGGCUCAACCCAUAUCAGCAUUUGAAACUGCGUAACUUGAGUGCAGGAGAGGCAAGUGGAAUUCCUAGUGUAGCGGUGAAAUGCGUAGAUAUUAGGAGGAACACCAGUGGCGAAGGCGACUUGCUGGACUGUAACUGACGCUGAGUCACGAAAGCGUGGGGAGCAAACA